UACGUAGGGGGCUAGCGUUGUCCGGAUUUAUUGGGCGUAAAGAGCGUGUAGGCGGCCAGGUAGGUCUGCUGUGAAAACUCGAGGCUCAACCUCGAGACGUCGGCGGAAACCAUCUGGCUAGAGUCCGGAAAGAGGAGAGUGGAAUUCCUGGUGUAGCGGUGAAAUGCGCAGAUAUCAGGAAGAACACCGGUGGCGAAGGCGGAUCUCUGGGCCAUUACUGACGCUGGAGGAGCGAAAGCGUGGGGAGCGAACAGG
rnacentral:rRNA from 1 species